AACUGGUUACACAACCAAAUAAAACAAUAUCAAUUCCCAGUCCAGUCCCCCAUCUUAAAUGGCUGUAGGUGCAAGACACUGCACCUUAAGGUUCAUGGAACAACUUGAAUCAACAUCACUCAUGAAAUGCUCCCUUUCCUCUUCACCUCUAUAUCAAAAGCAAUAUGUUCACUUCUUCAACUCUAGCCAAGUAAGAUAAAUGUAUCAAUUCUACAGUUCAUAUGUUCUCCUCUCACUUUGACUUAACAAUUUUUGCUAAUUGUAUGUAUACCUUUUAACUGAAUAGAGAUAUAGUCAGUGUUGUUCAUUGUCGAUGAAUGGAUGCCAAGGCGAUCCAAGAGCUCCUAUUGGAACCAUUGAAACUCGAACGUUGCC
rnacentral:lncRNA from 1 species